UAAUUUAANUGCACUAAUCUGCCAAAAUAGCUAUAAUUAUUAAUGAUAUUCUUUUUUUAAAAUAUUAUUAUUUUAAUAUUUGGUCCUUUCGUACUAAAAUAUUAUAAUUAAUUAAAGAUAGAAACCAACCUGGCUUACGCCGGUUUGAACUCAGAUCAUGUAAGAAUUUAAAAGUCGAACAGACUUAAAAUUUGAACGGCUACACCCAAAAUUAUAUCUUAAUCCAACAUCGAGGUCGCAAUCUUUUUUAUCGAUAUGAACUCUCCAAAAAAAUUACGCUGUUAUCCCUAAAGUAACUUAAAUUUUUAAUCAUUAUUAAUGGAUCAAUAACUCAUAAAUUAAUGGUUUUUAAAAUUAAAAGUUUUUUAAAUUUUAAUAUCACCCCAAUAAAAUAUUUUAAUUUAUUAAAAUUAAAUUAAUCUUUAAAAUUAAAAUAAAUAAAAUAUAAAGAUUUAUAGGGUCUUCUCGUCUUUUAAAUAAAUUUUAGCUUUUUGACUAAAAAGAUAAAAUUCUAUAAAAAAUUAAAAUGAAACAGUUAAUACUUCGUCCAACCAUUCAUUUCAGC
rnacentral:rRNA from 1 species